AGCGAACGCUGGCGGCAGGCUUAACACAUGCAAGUCGAGCGGGCAUCCUUGUGGUGUCAGCGGCAGACGGGUGAGUAACGCGUGGGAACGUGCCCUUCGGUUCGGAAUAACUCAGGGAAACUUGAGCUAAUACCGGAUACGUGCGAGAGCAGAAAGGUUUAUCUGCCGAAGGAUCGGCCCGCGUCUGAUUAGCUAGUUGGUGAGGUUACGGCUCACCAAGGCGACGAUCAAUAGCUGGUCUGAGAGGAUGAUCAGCCACACUGGGACUGAGACACGGCCCAGACUCCUACGGGAGGCAGCAGUGGGGAAUAUUGGACAAUGGGGGCAACCCUGAUCCAGCCAUGCCGCGUGAGUGAUGACGGCCUUAGGGUUGUAAAGCUCUUUUCUCCGGGACGAUAAUGACGGUACCGGAGGAAUAAGCCCCGGCUAACUUCGUG
rnacentral:rRNA from 1 species